rnacentral:rRNA from 1 species
UACGGAAGGCAGCGGUGGGGAAUAUUGCACAAUGGGCGCAAGCCUGAUGCAGCCAUGCCGCGUGUAUGAAAAAGGCCUUCGGGUUGUAAAGUACUUUCAGUCGUGAGGAAGGUGUUAAGGUUAAUAACCUUAGCAAUUGACGUUAGCGACAGAAGAAGCACCGGCUAACUCCGUGCCAGCAGCCGCGGUAAUACGGAGGGUGCGAGCGUUAAUCGGAAUUACUGGGCGUAAAGGGCACGCAGGCGGUUAAUUAAGUUGGAUGUGAAAUCCCCGGGCUUAACCUGGGAAUGGCAUUCAAGACUGGUUAGCUAGAGUCUUGUAGAGGGGGUAGAAUUCCAUGUGUAGCGGUGAAAUGCGUAGAGAUGUGGAGGAAUACCGGUGGCGAAGGCGGCCCCUGGACAAAGACUGACGCUCAUGUGCGAAAGCGUGGGGAGCAAACAGGGAUUAAUACC